rnacentral:rRNA from 1 species
GUGAGGAAUAUUGCGCAAUGGAGGCAACUCUGACGCAGCCAUGCCGCGUGCAGGAAGAAGGCGCUACGCGUUGUAAACUGCUUUUAACCGGGAAGAAACCCCAGGACGUGUCCUGGGUUGACGGUACCGGAGGAAUAAGCACCGGCUAACUUCGUGCCAGCAGCCGCGGUAAUACGAAGGGUGCAAGCGUUAUCCGGAUUCAUUGGGUUUAAAGGGUGCGUAGGCGGAGCGUUAAGUCAGUGGUGAAAUCCUGCAGCUUAACUGUAGACUUGCCAUUGAUACUGGCGGUCUUGAGUGCGCUUGAAGUGGGCGGAAUGUGCCGUGUAGCGGUGAAAUGCUUAGAUAUGGCACAGAACACCAAUUGCGAAGGCAGCUCACUAAGGCGAUACUGACGCUGAGGCACGAAAGCGUGGGGAUCGAACAGGAUUAGAAACCCUUGUAGUCC